rnacentral:rRNA from 1 species
GCGGAGGAAAAGAAACCAACCGGGAUUGCCUUAGUAACGGCGAGUGAAGCGGCAAAAGCUCAAAUUUGAAAUCUGGCCUUUGGUCCGAGUUGUAAUUUGAAGAAGGUAAUUUUUAAGGGGAUCUUUGCACAAGUUCGUUGGAAGACGACGUCAUAGAGGGUGAGAAUCCCGUACUGUGAAGCAAACCUUUUGUAAAAUGCUUUCGAAGAGUCGAGUUGUUUGGGAAUGCAGCUCUAAGUGGGUGGUAAAUUCCAUCUAAAGCUAAAUAUUGGCGAGAGACCGAUAGCGAACAAGUACAGUGAUGGAAAGAUGAAAAGAACUUUGAAAAGAGAGUGAAAAAGUACGUGAAAUUGUUGAAAGGGAAGGGUUUUAGGGGAGACUUGGGUAAAAGUGAACAGUUUUCUUUCGGGGAGACGUACGCACUUUUAUCUGGGCCAGUAUGGGUUUGAAUGGUGGGAUAAAAGGUUAGUAAUGUGGCUACUUGUAGUGUUAUAGACUAACCCAAUACCACCCAUCCAGACCAAGGAACGCAACCUCAGGAUACUGGCAUAAUCCCCUUAAACCACCCGUCUUGAAACACGG